UAUGAAAUUGAAUAUAAAUAUUCAAAUUAUGAUCCAGUACUCAGUAGAAAGUUUUCUUAAAUCUAUUUUUGACCCGUUAUAAUAUUUUUUUAUGUAUUGAA
rnacentral:sRNA from 1 species